AGAGUUUGAUCCUGGCUCAGGAUGAACGCUGGCGGCGUGCCUAAUACAUGCAAGUCGAGCGAACCACUUCGGUGGGAAGCGGCGAACGGGUGAGUAACACGUAGGUGAUCUGCCCAUCAGACGGGGACAACGAUUGGAAACGAUCGCUAAUACCGGAUAGGACGAAAGUUUAAAGAUGCUCCUGGCAUCACUGAUGGAUGAGCCUGCGGCGCAUUAGCUAGUUGGUGGGGUAAAGGCCUACCAAGGCGACGAUGCGUAGCCGACCUGAGAGGGUGAACGGCCACACUGGGACUGAGACACGGCCCAGACUCCUACGGGAGGCGGCAGUAGGGAAUCUUCGGCAAUGGGCGAAAGCCUGACCGAGCAACGCCGCGUGAAUGAAGAAGGCCUUCGGGUUGUAAAAUUCUGUUAUAAGGGAAGAAAGGUGAUAGGAGGAAAUGACUAUCAAUUGACGGUACCUUAUGAGAAAGCCACGGCUAACUACGUG
rnacentral:rRNA from 1 species